AGGCGAAGCCGCCGCCGCCGCCGCCCUCGCCGCCGCCGCCGCUCCUCCCGCCGCCGCCGCUCCUCCCGCAGCCUCUACAGUAGCCGCUGCCGCCACCACCAUGGUGCACUGGGCGCCGCGAACGACGCGCCGCCGCCACCGCCGCCGCUGUUGCCGCCGCUGCCGCCAGGCCCCCGUCACGUGACGGGAGCCGGCACCGCCCCUCCAGGAACCCCGCCCCCUGCCCCUCCCCGCGCGCACCCUCCCUCGGGUUCUCCUCGGCUCGCGUCGUGCCUCGCGGCUCUUCCUCCUCCGCAGCCCCCGAACUCCGCCGCACUCCCUUCCCCUCCUCUCCCGGCCGGUCCCCUCGACGCUGCUCUUCUCCCCGUUUUCUUCCUUUUCCUUCUCCCUUCGGCUUCUCUCCUCCUUGCCGCGGUCUCAUCUGACUCUCUCGUCCCCCUCCCAAGACUCUGCCUGUCCCCCCUUCCUCUCCUACCCCUUUUCACUCUGAAUCAUCCUUGCCCUUCUCUCCUUUUCUUGCCUCUUUCCCUCUCCCUUCUUUCUUGCUGCCUCCGGGACGGUCCAGCAGGAUUAGAUGCUCUUCCCUCUCGCAGAAGUGGGCGGGAUGCACGGGAGGAGAGUCGCACCCUGGAGUCUGGAGGCCGGGGGAGAUGCUGAGGCUCCCGGGCUGCUGUGGGGAGGGGAUGAACUCGACCCUGGAAAGUCCGUGCCUGGAGGAAUUGUCAGUAAUGAACUUGGGGACCUAUUGGAUUCCGGAUGUAGCCCGAAAACCCCUGCCCAUCAAAGCCAACUCCUUCAGAAACUGCUUGGGUUGUGUUCCUCAAAUAGAAUGGAAGCUUUUCCCCUGACGAGUGGUCACAGGAUAUGGACAGUUUUCAAAAGAACUGCAAUCUAUAAAAAAUGAUCUAUAUCACUCAAUUAUUGAAGUGAGCUGAUGGAAGUUUUUUGGGGAAAUGGGAUAAGAAUUAAAUGUUCUUUUUCUGUCCCCUCCCUCUCUCCAAGGAAGAAUGGACAUCUAGUUAGCUGAGGGAUCAAAUAAUAAAAUGAAUAGAGCACAAAAAGAAACA
rnacentral:lncRNA from 1 species